ACACAAGAAAUUCGUGAUCUUGAUUGGCUGGUAAUUGAUCUCAAUGAUUGCUGUCAAAGACAUCAAGAUGAUUUUCUUGGAUCAUACACACAUAAUGUCAUCUAUAAUUCAAUUUCCCUUAAUGAAAUUAAUCAUACAAACAUGAUGUACUUUCACUUUGUGGAUAAGGAGAGCUCGCAGAUUGGAUGGUGAGACAUAUUCAGCUGAAAUCAUUCUUGAGCUGAUAAACGCUUGCUAGAAUUUGAGCGCUUGAGCUUGGUCAGGACU
rnacentral:misc_RNA from 1 species